ensembl:lncRNA
GUGAGUGGGAAGACGCACAUCCUUGACUGGACAGCGUCAGUGGAGUUGUUUACAAGGCAAGUUGUAAAAUAUGUCGGCGAGUGUUUUCAGUGGCGCACGGUGGGCUGUCUGACAUCAGACAGCAUGCAACAGGAGAGCAACACUGCAGACACGAAAGAUCACAGAAGACCCAAGCGUCAGUGUCACAGUUCUUCAUACCCCAAUCAUCUCCUGAGGUUGAUACGGUAUGGGACAUUAUGUUGUGAAACAGGAAGAUGUUCCCCCUUGCUGUUCAAUACUUCAGUCCAGAAUGCGGGGUCACCAACAAAAUGCUGGAUUUCAUUGAAAAUGCAGAUGAGUCCGCUGCUGGGAUUGUAGCUCUCACAGAGCAGUCGCUUGACAAAUUUGGCUUAUCGUUGGAUCAUGUGACAGCAUUUAGUGCACUGCAGACAACACAAAUGUGAAUUAUGGAAUUCACAACUCUGUCUUCACCAACGUUCAGAAGUAACAAAAAGAUCUGCUGCAAGGAAACUGCCAUGCCCAUAUUUUGCACAACACAGUGAAGCAUGCUCUUGACCAGCUCACUGUAGAUGUGGAAAAUGUUGUGCUGAAGGUCUAUGCCUUCUUUUCCACAUCUGCCAAACGAAGAGAAAAAGAACUUCUGGAAGAAGGGGGGGGCCUGGAGGGUCUUUUACCUUUAAUAAUUCAUCGUCUUUAAUAACAAAAUACCAACAGAAGUUACUUCUGGAAAAAGAAGUAACAGUUUUGAGGGGAGGAGUAAUGUUGAGGGAAGGAGUAAUGUUUUGCACUCUUUUUUUACAUAAGUUUAUAAGUGUUUUUGUUGUUUAUUUGUACUGGUUUUUUUUGUAAAAAUGUUCAAAGAGAGUCCCUAUAGUUAUGCACUUAAAAAGUAACAUGAAGUUCUCAGUUUAUUUAGUUUAUAUUUUAAAAGUUCAUUGCUGCACACGCCACACAAAGAGAUUUCAUUCAAGAUUUAAUUGACUGCACUUUAUAAAAGAAUGUUAUGUGGUAAUAAAGCAUUUCAAGCUUUAAGUAUGACUAAUUCCUUUCUUGAUCAACCCUUUACUAAAAACACCAGCACAAAAUAAAACAUACCACUGCUGCGGGCGCCCCGCCCCACAGGAGUCGGGCCCGUGGUGGGCGUCCCUUAUUUUAAUUUCUGAAAGUUGGCAACCCUACCUUUAGGACACAUUUAAAGAUGCCAAAGGAUUUGUGCGUAAAGUACGUCUUAAGACAAAAAGCAAUGUAUUGGAAAGGCCCAUUACUAAGUUAUGUUUACUACUAGAAACUGAAUGAGCUUUGAAAAUCUGUUGAGUAUUCUCGAAGAAAGUUGUCCAAUCCCGGGUUGCUUUAACUCACUUCAUUUAUUAUAAAGUCGUCGGCAUGUUUCGGCAUGGUAAGUGAAGCUAUACGGAGGGAAUUGUAGGAAUUGGUAGAACACGUGUGAGAGAUAAUAACUCUGGCUACUACGGGACAUGGGCAAAGGCCCAUGUCCCCUCGCGGGUGUCGCUGAAAAUCUCUGAGGCGUUCACUCGACGUCCUCCGUACAGGACAUCAAGUGGGUGUGGCCUAUGCAGUGGGCGUGGCCUAGUGGGCGUGGCCGGGGUGACGUUAUGGCUUAGGCUUCUUCACUUAAUUAAAGGUGAAGGGGGAGCAGCCUUCAAUAACGUCAUGCUCCCCUUGUGGCUAUGUGAGGGUAACGCAGCUUAUAUGUUUGGUCCUACUUCCUAGUGGACAAGUGAGGGAAGCUUAGAUUCUUAAAAUACGUAACAAUCCCUCCUUGGUCAUCUUAGAUGACCAUACAAUAAUAUUUUAAAUCAUAAACACCAUUUACCACA